rnacentral:rRNA from 1 species
GACGAACGCUGGCGGCGUGCCUAAUGCAUGCAAGUCGAGCGGGCUACGAUCUUCGGAUUGUAGCUUAGCGGCGAACGGGUGAGUAACACGUAGGUAAUCUACCCUUCAGAGGAGGACAACCUCAGGAAACUGAGGCUAAACCUCCAUACGUUCAUAUGCAGGGAUGCAGAUGAAGAAAGAGUUACCCGUGAGGGUAGCUGCUGAAGGAUGAGCCUGCGGCCCAUCAGGUAGUUGGUGAGGUAACGGCUCACCAAGCCUAAGACGGGUAACCGGUCUGAGAGGAUGUCCGGUCACACUGGGACUGAGACACGGCCCAGACUCCUACGGGAGGCAGCAGCAGGGAAUCUUGGGCAAUGGGCGAAAGCCUGACCCAGCCAUGCCGCGUGAAGGAAGACGGCCUUAUGGGUUGUAAACUUCUUUACUACGCGAAUAGAGGUUAGUACGAGAUACUAAUAGGAAGGUAGUGUAGUAAAAAGCACCGGCUAACUCCGUGCCAGCACGG